rnacentral:rRNA from 1 species
AGUCGAGUGCGCAGUCUGCUGUAGCAAUACAGCAGAUCGGCGCACGGCGCACGGGUGCGUAACACGCUGGGUAACCUGCCCUCCAAAGGGGGAUAACCCGCCGAAAGGCGGGCUAAUACCGCAUGACAUUCCGGUGGCUUCGGCCGCUGGAAUCAAAGCCCGCAAGGGCGUUGGAGGAGGGGCCCGCGGCCGAUUAGCUUGUUGGCGAGGUAACGGCUCACCAAGGCUUUGAUCGGUAGCCGGUCUGAGAGGAUGGCCGGCCACACUGGAACUGAGACACGGUCCAGACUCCUACGGGAGGCAGCAGUGGGGAAUCUUGCGCAAUGGGCGAAAGCCUGACGCAGCGACGCCGCGUGGGGGAUGAAGCUUCUCGGAGUGUAAACCCCUUUCGACCCGGACGAAACGCCCGCAAGGGCUUGACGGUACGGGUAUAAGAAGCCCCGGCUAACUACGUGCCAGCAGCCGCGGUAAGACGUAGGGGGCCAGCGUUGCUCGGAAUUACUGGGCGUAAAGGGUUCGUAGGCGGUGUGGUAAGUCGGAAGUGAAAUCUCUGGGCUUAACUCAGAGGCUGCUUUCGAAACUGCCGCGCUAGAGUGCGGGAGAGGCGAGUGGAAUUACAGGUGUAGCGGUGAAAUGCGUAGAUAUCUGUAGGAACACCCGUGGCGAAGGCGGCUCGCUGGACCGCAACUGACGCUGAGGAACGAAAGCUAGGGGAGCAAACAGGAUUAGAUACCCUGGUAGUCCUAGCCCUAAACCAUCAGGACUUGGGGUGGCCCGCGUUGGCGGGUCGUCCCGGAGCUAACGCGUUAAGUCCUGCGCCUGGGGAGUACGGUCGCAAGGCUGAAACUCAAAAGGAAUUGACG